ACUUUCUUAGUAUAACAAGUACAGAUGGCUUCCAACCACCUAGUUCUGGUUAAACCCCAGGAGAAAGUA
rnacentral:tRNA from 1 species